AAUGAGCGCUGGCGGCAGGCCUAACACAUGCAAGUCGAACGGAUCCUUCGGGAUUAGUGGCGGACGGGUGAGUAACGCGUGGGAACAUACCCUUUGGUACGGAAUAGCCUCGGGAAACUGGGAGUAAUACCGUAUGUGGUCGAGAGACGAAAGAUUUAUCGCCAAAGGAUUGGCCCGCGUUGGAUUAGGUAGUUGGUGGGGUAAUGGCCUACCAAGCCGACGAUCCAUAGCUGGUUUGGGAGGAUGAUCAGCCACACUGGGACUGAGACACGGCCCAGACUCCUACGGGAGGCAGCAGUGGGGAAUCUUAGACAAUGGGGGAAACCCUGAUCUAGCCAUGCCGCGUGAUCGAUGAAGGCCUUAGGGUUGUAAAGAUCUUUCAGGUGGGAUGAUAAUGACUGUACCACCAGAAGAAGCCCCGGCUAACUCCGUGCCAGCCGCCGCGGUAA
rnacentral:rRNA from 1 species